CCCGGUGGUAAUCUUAACGGCCGCAGUUAGGAGCUGUGCUAAGGUAGCGUAAUCAGUUGUCCCUUAAAUGGGGAAAGGUAUGAAUGGUUUGACGUAAAGGUUUCUGUCUCGAAAGGAUUUUUAGAAGUUUUCUUCUUAGUGAAAAGUCUAAGGUUGAAUUAAAAGACGAGAAGACCCUUUUGAGCUUGAUUUACCCUUUUAUUUUUUGGGGGGGGAAAGUUUGGUUGGGGCAACUAAGGAGCAAAGGAAGCCUCCUUAUUGAUACAUGGAUCCAAAAAUUUUGAAUAAGGAAAAAGCUACCAUAGGGAUAACAGCGUUAUCUUUUCUGAGAGAACAAAUUGAAGAAAAG
rnacentral:rRNA from 1 species